GAAACAAACUUUUAAGUAAAUUCACAAUUUUAACGUUUUUAUAUAGUUUGGGGUUUUGUUUGUCAAUACUGUAAAUAUACAUAUUGUUUGUAUUGAUUAACUUUAUUUCUAUGGGACUUUAAAUUCCCUUAUUUUAUAUUUUCAAAAAGGGUCUGUUUUCACAUAUUCAGGCAAAAUGUGAUUUGAUGGUUACCAUGGCAACGGACAUAAUACAGGGAAAAUAAAGACAGAAUUUUACCCAUCUACCAAAGUUCUUAUGAUACAGGGCAAAAAAAAAAAUACUUCUGUGACAUGUCAUGAAUCACCUUCUGCAUGGUUUUUACAAAGACCGGUACUUAAAAGCGGAUUGAUAAAGAACAAUGAGGAUGUGCAAUGAAUUCUAAACAAAAUACUCGAUGUAUAUAAUUAUUUGAUGUGUAGGCUGUAAAGCUAAGAAUAAUUUAAUCAUGAUGUAAUGCGUCUUCUGAUUGGC
rnacentral:lncRNA from 1 species